AUGUUUUCUUUUGUACACGUGUGGGUAGGUUUCUACUGUUUAGAAGGAUCCCAGGUGGCUGGACCCAUGUCCGGUUGGUUCGGUGGGCCUUGUCACCCAGGCCACUACUGUGAGAGGGGUAGCAGUGUGCCAACCCCCUGCCCCGCUGGCACCCAUAACAAUGACACCGGAGGGAAGACCAGGGACGACUGCAAGGCCUGUCCUGAUGGUUGGUUCCAGGACAUGGUGGGGCAGACGCAGUGUAAACCCUGUCCCCCAGGAUUUCACUGCCCAGCUGCCACCACGAGUGGCAUAGACAAGGGCCCCAUCAUCCCUCUGCGCUGCCCAGCUGGCUACGUCUGCCCCAGAGAGAGCCCAUUCAGCCAACCACACCCCUGCCCCAAAGGCACCUACAGCUCAAGUCAAGGCCUCACUUCACUGGGUGAGUGCUUGCUGUGUCCUGCCGGGCAGUUUUGUGGAUCUGAAGGUCUGGUUGUGCCAACUGGGCCGUGUUCCUCUGGGUUCCUCUGUGUUUCCAGGGCCAGAGUCCCCAACCCCACUGACAACAAGACAGGGUCACUGUGCCCCCCCGGAGCAUACUGCCAACUGGGACUCAGAGCAGGUCUAGUACAGAGGAACUCUUUUUUUGAAAUCUCCAAAUUAACCCAAAUGUUGUUUUUAAUGUGGAUUCUAAAUGGUAAAGGUUAG
rnacentral:lncRNA from 1 species